CCUACGGGUGGCAUCAGUGGGGAAUAUUGGACAAUGGGCGAAAGCCUGAUCCAGCCAUGCCGCGUGUGUGAAGAAGGCCUUCGGGUUGUAAAGCACUUUCAGUGGGGAAGAAAGCCUUGGGGCUAAUACCCUCGAGGAAGGACAUCACCCACAGAAGAAGCACCGGCUAACUCCGUGCCAGCAGCCGCGGUAAUACGGAUGGUGCGAGCGUUAAUCGGAAUUACUGGGCGUAAAGCGCGCGUAGGCGGUCUGAUAAGCCGGUUGUGAAAGCCCCGGGCUCAACCUGGGAACGGCAUCCGGAACUGUCAGGCUAGAGUGCAGGAGAGGAAGGUAGAAUUCCCGGUGUAGCGGUGAAAUGCGUAGAGAUCGGGAGGAAUACCAGUGGCGAAGGCGGCCUUCUGGACUGACACUGACGCUGAGGUGCGAAAGCGUGGGUAGCAAACAGGAUUAGAUACCCCUGUAGUC
rnacentral:rRNA from 1 species